rnacentral:lncRNA from 1 species
CCGAGGCGGGACCGCUGUCUGCCGCCGCAUCCCCGCCGCGACGGGCGGCUCGAAGUCGGCUUCGUUCUGCUCCGCGCCGCCGCCCGCUGCUCCGGCACCAUGUCCCUCUGCAGGGCCGCCUCGCAGGCGCUGGCCUCCCGCCUGAGCAGGGCUCCUGCCGCCGCCGGCCGCCUCAAGCAGCGUGCACCUCCUCGCCAGAUGUCAUCUGGGAGUGUUCCUGGCUCUUCUAGAGACAGCAUGAUGAUCUAUCUCCUUGCUGGUGUUGCUGCUUUUGGUGGUUUAUUUUAUCUUACUUCUAGCCCUCUCCCCCAAGAUCUGAGAUAG